AUGGCUCUAAUCCGGAUCAACUCCAGUGUUCAUUUCUUGAUGGCACUUAUGAUGAUUUCAAGCACUUUAUUGUCGAGUGAAGCAUCAGGGAGGAACAUAGGCAUGGAAGCUAACAUUGGCGUUGAGGGGCGCCGUGAACCUUACACUCCUUGUUCAGAUCCUUCAUUUUGUAAUGACAUCUGCAAGCGAGAUGGUAAGGGAGGUGGGACCUGUAGUGGUGGUGCCUGCUACUGCAACAGAGAUUUGUAG
rnacentral:rRNA from 1 species